CUUCAACUUUCAAAUAAAAGGAUUGUUAGAGAAGGAGAAAAAUAUCACGAUAAAGGCCUUCGCAAUUGCUUCUCCUGACUUGCACAUUACAAAUAUAGUUCAUCGCUACAUCAACAAAAUCUAAAAUUUGAUUUUGUCUACAAUAUUACAUCUCUGUUUGCAGAAAUGGGCUUUCCGUUUUGAAAACGACGGCCUUUCUUGUUUAUCCGUCACAUUUCUCUAAAUCCAACUGUAAUCCCGCCCCUUUGGCUCUAGAAUUUACGGUCAAACGGAGUCCGCUGUGAAAUAUGAAAUGGUUCUCUGACUGCAUGCAUGCGUGUAAAUAUUUAUUUUCACAAGUUUUGGCUAUAUGACUUGAUAGCCUUCGACGAGUAAAUAUUGUAGAAAUAUUUACAGUCAGAGAGGUUUCGUGUGACGUUUCAUCCCUAUAAGUUAUUAUAUUGCAUAUACUGUAUAUUGAUUUUGUAUUUUAAUCUUAAUAUUUAUUUGUUAAUAAAUUAUUG